AAGUGUUAGAGUUCUUUUAGAAUUUUCCUAAUAGGUUUUUUUCAGUUUUCACCAGAAGACACCCCC
rfam:Gorilla gorilla gorilla genomic chromosome, chr3, whole genome shotgun sequence